rnacentral:tRNA from 2 species
GCCGGCGUAGCUCAGCUGGUAGAGCGGAGGACUGAAAAUCCUUAUGUCAUCAGUUCGAUUCUGAUCGCUGGCA